CGGACGGGUGAGUAACGCGUGAGCAACCUGCCCUUCGGAGGGGGAUAGUGUCUGGAAACGGACAGUAAUACCGCAUAACGUAUUGAUACCGCAUGAUAUUGAUACCAAAACUGAGGUGCCGAAGGAUGGCUCGCGUUGGAUUAGAUAGUUGGUGGGGUAACGGCCUACCAAGUCGACGAUCCAUAGCCGGACUGAGAGGUUGAACGGCCACAUUGGGACUGAGACACGGCCCAGACUCCUACGGGAGGCAGCAG
rnacentral:rRNA from 1 species